CAGCAGCAGCGUCCUCUGGUAGUUCCUCCUUUUCGACGACAAGGGGACGGAAUUUCGUUUUCAUCUCAACUGAAUCCGCUGGUGAAAAUGGCGGAGGCAGCGUUUGAAAGCCAACCUAGGUUGAACAGAUUUUAUUGUCAUUCCUGCUCAGCUGAAAUCAGUCCAAAUCUACCUGAUUUCACAUGUCCCCGCUGUGAAAAUGGAUUUGUAGAAGAAAUUACAGAAGAUUUUUCCAACACACCAAGAACUACGCCUUCACAACAAGAUCAAGAUUCUGUAAGCUAUGUUUUAGAUUUCUGGGAAAAUGUUAGAAAUCAUGCUCUUCGCCCAAGAGAAACUCAACAGCAAGACAGAGAUGAUGAUGGUAGUGAACGACGAAGUAAUGGUAGGCGUCGGCAUACUCAAAGAGAUAGACCUCAGUUUUACGAUAUAGAAAGGCUAUUAUUGCAAUUUAUUAGUCCUUUGCAACAAGAAAUGCCAAAUGCUGGAAUGUUAAACAUAUUUCCUCUUCAUGCAAACCCUGGGGACUAUGCAUGGGGUGCCGGUGGAUUAGAUUCUGUUAUAAGCCAGUUGAUGAAUCAAAUUGAUGGAGCAGGUAUCCCUCCAGCUGAGAAAGACAAAAUAGAUGCUCUUGCUCUGACUGAGAUAAAGAAAGAACAAGUUGUUAUUGUCUGGAACAUUUCAAUAGGAAAAAAUAAAGGAAAUAAUCGAUUGGUUUCAAGUCCUCAGGAAGAUUGUGAUUGGACAAAAACCUCCAAUGCCCAAUAUGUCUAAAUGAAUUUGAGUUAAGUGAACAAGUGAAAGAAUUGGGUUGCAAUCAUCAAUACCACAUAAAUUGUAUAGAUCAGUGGUUAUUAAGGCAUGGGAAUUGUCCAGUUUGCCGAAAGGACUUAAAUGGAAGAGAUACAACUGCAAAACACUAUUCAUCUUCAACCUCUAUGGACUUAAGCUGAAAAAAUCCCUAAAUUUCACACUUCAGAUUUUCUUCCCUUCCAACAUUUUGUUUUCAAUACUUUUAUUUUUGGAACCUCUUUUAUGUAUCCUGGACAUAUUCAUGCAUUUGAUUAUGAAUGUAUGUUUUAAAAAAAAGAUAAUAAGUUCGUUAUACAUGCACAAGCAUUCAUAUCUUAUCAAGAAAAAAAAUAUACUGUAUAAUUUGUCAAUUGUAAUCUAUUGGAUUUCCGUGUUCAUUUAAUGAAUGUGGAAAUAAGAGAUUGCCAACCCUUGCACUUGUGUGUGAUAGUUUAAAAAAAAAAUGAAUUAAUAUAUUAGCAUGAAAAUAAAUGUAAUUUCAAGACGCAUUCAUUAAGUAAUUAAUAUUUGAGAAGAGUGAAAAGGAAGAAAACUUUUUAUUUCAGUUUAGAUGGUGAAAGGGAAGAAAUAAAAGAAAAUAAAGACUAUUACAGUGUGAGAAAGAUUUGAGACAAAAAUCAUCUCUUCAAAUAAAACUUGACAUUUUCUAUUGAUGACUCGAGAAAAACAAACUUUGGUGUUGUGAAUAUCUGAUGUAACAUGACGUUUUGUAUGUACAAUGUAUAUAAACGUAUCUACCCUCCAGAGCUUACAUGAUUGAUGAAAGGUAGUUAGAAAUCUAUUAAAUCGGUCUUCAAAAUAGUUUGGGGGGCAUCAAAUACAACAUUGCUCUUCCAUAAAUCAUUUCUUCUCUAGUUUUGUAGUUUUUUUUUUGUUUUGAAGAUGCAAGUUUAAGGUCAGAAUUGUCUCUCAGAUUUUAAUUUUUAUUUGAAUAUUAAAUUUUUCUUCGUGUGGAUAAUCUAAUGAAGUAGUUUGUUGAAAAUAAAUUUUUUUAGUUAUUGUCAGUUUAUACUUAAAAAUUAACUCCAUGAUUAUUUUACUGCAGUAUAUCCACAUGAAAAUACUUUACUUAUAACAGAUUACAUCAUAGGUUUAAUUCUGUUCAUUCCAUAUUUAUCCUUGUUAAAUUGAGGACAAAAUGGCAUUUGCGAGUGAUGUUUUAUGUAUAUGACAUUGAAAUUGUGGCUACCUAAAUGGAGUUUUGAAUUAUGAAGUCUUUCAAAUGAACUUUUCCAUUGGUAGCUACUAACUAUUCUUUUGUUCAUAUUUGGUACAUCAAAACGAGAGAAGAAAGUCAAAAUAUUUAAACAUAAGCAACAAAGUAAAACUUCUUUAACGCUUAAUAAAUACCAUUCUUCAACUGAAAA